AAACGACUCUCGGCAACGGAUAUCUCGGCUCACGCAUCGAUGAAGAACGUAGCAAAAUGCGAUACUUGGUGUGAAUUGCAGAAUCCCGUGAACCAUCGAGUUUUUGAACGCAAGUUGCGCCCGAAGCCAUCCGGCUGAGGGCACGCCUGCCUGGGCGUCACG
rnacentral:rRNA from 2 species